AUUGAACGCUGGCGGCAUGCUUUACACAUGCAAGUCGAACGGUAACAGGCCUUCGGGUGCUGACGAGUGGCGAACGGGUGAGUAAUGCAUCGGAACGUACCCAGAGGUGGGGGAUAACGCAGCGAAAGCUGUGCUAAUACUGCAUGUGAUCUGAGGAUGAAAGCGGGGGACCGAGCAGCAAUGUUUGGCCUCGCGCCUUUGGAGCGGCCGAUGUCGGAUUAGCUAGUUGGUGGGGUAAAGGCCUACCAAGGCGACGAUCCGUAGCUGGUCUGAGAGGACGACCAGCCACACUGGGACUGAGACACGGCCCAGACUCCUACGGGAGGCAGCAGUGGGGAAUUUUGGACAAUGGGCGCAAGCCUGAUCCAGCAGUGCCGCGUGCGGGAAGAAGGCCUUCGGGUUGUAAACCGCUUUUGGCAGGAACGAAACGGUGUCCGCUAAUACCGGGCGCUAAUGACGGUACCUGCAGAAUAAGCACCGGCUAACUACGUG
rnacentral:rRNA from 1 species